rnacentral:rRNA from 1 species
AUUGAACGCUGGCGGCAUGCCUUACACAUGCAAGUCGAACGGCAGCAUGGAGAGCUUGCUCUCUGAUGGCGAGUGGCGAACGGGUGAGUAAUGCAUCGGAACGUACCGUGUAAUGGGGGAUAACGUAGCGAAAGUUACGCUAAUACCGCAUACGACCUGAGGGUGAAAGCAGGGGAUCGCAAGACCUUGCGUUAUACGAGCGGCCGAUGUCAGAUUAGCUAGUUGGUGAGGUAAAGGCUCACCAAGGCGACGAUCUGUAACGGGUAUGAGCGGAUGAUCCGCCACACUGGGACUGAGACACGGCCCAGACUCCUACGGAAGGCAGCAGUGGGGAAUUUUGGACAAUGGGGGCAACCCUGAUUCAGCCAUGCCGCGUGAGUGAUGAAGGCCUUAGGGUUGUAAAGCUCUUUCGUCCGGGAAGAAAUCGCACAGGCUAAUACUCUGUGUGGAUGACGGUACCGGCAUAAGAAGCACCGGCUAACUACGUGCCAGCCGCCGCAGUAA